GUGCUGUAUUUGAAGAGGAAGUGAGGCUUGUAGAUUGGGAGCAGGUUCAGGUUGGGUGUGGAUGGAAAGAGAAAAUGGAUAAGGAUUCAUCCUAAAGGAUGAGUUUGCUAAAAAUGUUCUGGAGGUGAAGAAAGUGUGAAACAUAGAGAUGAGUCUAAAGCUGGAAUUUGAGGGUGUGAUGUAUGUUCUUAGUGGUUCUGACCCUCAAGUUUGAUGGGAAAGGGAGAAACUCUGAUAGGAGGUACAUGAAACGAUUUGGAGUUAUGAAUUAAUUUAAGAAAUCCAGAGGAAUUGAAGAUGAAAACAUGUCACUAAAGUGCAAAAUGAUUCACUUUUUGACCCUGUUUGAGACUUGUGUAAAAACAGCUCCCUUAAAAACAUUUAAACAUUGAUUUGUAAGCCCAACAACAAGAAAGAUCUUUUUGCCACAGACGGGCAAAAUGUUCUUAAAAAAACAAAAACAGCCCAGAAAGGAGGGAUUUUAUACCUUAAGGUGGAUGGUUACAAUUUUAUAGAUUUCUUAAAUAAUGGCACAACUAUCCAGACACAAGGUACCAACAAAAAUAACAGACAUUAAACCAAUAGCUUUACAUAUCUUAUAGAAGGUAGUUAAGCAUCUGUUUAAAAAACGAAAACAGCGAACUCAUGCCGUCUUUUUGUUUGCUGAUGAGCAACAAGCACAUAUGUUCUGUUCAGCUUGUUAUUUUACUUUUUCAAGAACCUGUGGAUCAUAACAGGACUUUUGUUGACUUGCAUUCUGCCAGAAGAUUAAAAACUUGUUCUCUGCUUAAAAUUGCAUGAGAAGGAUCUCCUGACGGGGCCAAAGAGGCCGUCCUGGAACUCGGCCACGACACAAAGCUGCAAUUAUUUAUAACGCCUCCUGUUGAAUAAGAUCUACAUGGGAAUUUAAACUUGCGUACCUCAAGGUGUCAUCUGUUUGUCUUUGUGGUCGUUAAAGAUGGAGAACUAGAAAAUUGGGUCGCCUAUCUGAACCCAGAAAUUCUUAAUUGCUUAGUAUACAUUGUGGUUUUGUUUGAUUCUGCUGCAGCAAUGUGCUCCUAAGCCAUUCAUCAGUUUUUGAUAAGAAUUGUCAUUUUAGAUUUCAUUUCAAGUUUUUAUUUAAUCCUUUCAUUACAUUUGGUGAUCACAGUCAUUGAUUUCAUUGGAACAUGCAACAAAGAUCCCUUUUCUGAUCAUUUUUGGUAGAAAUCAAAGAAAAGUGGAGUUAAUGUAAAAGUAGAGGUGCUUGAUUCUCUUACAUUCGAUGCUACAGGUGGAAUUGAUACUGUCCAGUAGCAGAAACUGCCAUCUACUCGUUUUAAUUCAGAACAAAUUCCUGUCAAACUGCUGGCUGACCACGUAACCUCAAUUUCAGUAUAAUUGUUCCCCUCCUGCUGUGUCCCAGUUUCAUGCUGUCACGUGGGACACCUACUCUGCCCCUAACCCUCAGGCCCCCCUCAGCUGACUGAGUCCAGUCUCAAUAAUGGAGAGUUUGCUCACAGCAAGUUGAGUGACACUGUGUUUGUCACCCAGCAGAGUAUUUAAUGCCCUGCAGUUACCCAAGCAGAGCAGCUUUGGGGCAAACAUUUCCUCACAGAGCUCUGUGAGGGUUUCAUUUCAAAAAUCCCUGGUACUGCUUGUAAAUGACCCAUUUUAAUUGUUUUCUUAUUACCGGUUUAUUGUUGAACAUUUCCUUUAACUGAAGAUUGCUCUAAUUUCAAAAGAAGUAUGUUGAAGAUGUAAAAGAACAUUAUAAAAAAACAGUAUUAUUGUUUGUAAUGUGUAUUUUGUUUUGAAGACUUUUAUUGUGAAGGUCCCACCCACCUACUUCCAUUUUUUCUUUGAAAUCCCUGUCAGUUCAACAGAAACAAAAAAAAAACGGUUAACAGCUGAUGCUAUGGCAACAAAGGAAACAGACAAAUGACAGACUGUCUAAAGCUAUAAUUUGUUUUUGGCAUCUAGCUGGAAGGCGAACAGCUCUUACGGUGUGACUAUGACUGUGGAGUAAAUAAAUGGGUUGGAAUACCCCAUCAUAGUCCAUCA